UAACCACAUUGCCGGCUUCGGUCGGCUCUAGUCAGCGCAGCUGCAUUAUCGUGGCUGCAUAUUAAGAAGUCGUUGUGCACUUAGCUUGA
rfam:Vibrio parahaemolyticus RIMD 2210633 DNA, chromosome 2, complete sequence.